GUCGUCGUGGCCGAGUGGUUAAGGCGACAGACUAGAAAUCUGUUGGGCUCUGCCCGCACAGGUUCGAAUUCUGUCGGCGACG
rfam:Ciona savignyi cont_30330, whole genome shotgun sequence.